rnacentral:SRP_RNA from 1 species
GCAGGGUCCCGCUCGAGCUCGGCUCUUCGUGAACCCCGUCAGGCCCGGAAGGGAGCAGCGGCAGCGAGGCACCGGCGGCGAGCGGGGGUGCCCUGCGAU